rnacentral:tRNA from 1 species
CAGUGUGUAGCGCAGACUGGUAGCGUACCUGACUUGGAUUCAGGGGGUCGCAGGUUCGAACCCUGCCACACUGACCA